rnacentral:tRNA from 3 species
CGGGGCGUAGCGCAGUCCGGUAGCGCACCUGGUUCGGGACCAGGGAGUCGCCGGUUCAAAUCCGGCCGCCCCGA